rnacentral:rRNA from 1 species
CUUGCACGCUGGCGGCAUGCCUUACACAUGCAAGUCGAACGGCAGCACGGGUGCUUGCACCUGGUGGCGAGUGGCGAACGGGUGAGUAAUACAUCGGAACAUGUCCUGUAGUGGGGGAUAGCCCGGCGAAAGCCGGAUUAAUACCGCAUACGAUCUACGGAUGAAAGCGGGGGACCUUCGGGCCUCGCGCUAUAGGGUUGGCCGAUGGCUGAUUAGCUAGUUGGUGGGGUAAAGGCCUACCAAGGCGACGAUCAGUAGCUGGUCUGAGAGGACGACCAGCCACACUGGGACUGAGACACGGCCCAGACUCCUACGGGAGGCAGCAGUGGGGAAGUUUGGACAAUGGGCGAAAGCCUGAUCCAGCAAUGCCGCGUGUGUGAAGAAGGCCUUCGGGUUGUAAAGCACUUUUGUCCGGAAAGAAAUCCUUGGCCCUAAUACGGUCGGGGGAUGACGGUACCGGAAGAAUAAGCACCGGCUAACUACGUG